AACGAACGCUGGCGGCAUGCCUAACACAUGCAAGUCGAACGAGACCUUCGGGCCUAGUGGCGCACGGGUGCGUAACGCGUGGGAACCUGCCCUUAGGUUCGGAAUAACUCCCCGAAAGGGGUGCUAAUACCGGAUAAUGUCUUCGGACCAAAGAUUUAUCGCCUUUGGAUGGGCCCGCGUUGGAUUAGCUAGUUGGUAGGGUAAAAGCCUACCAAGGCGACGAUCCAUAGCUGGUCUGAGAGGAUGAUCAGCCACACUGGGACUGAGACACGGCCCAGACUCCUACGGGAGGCAGCAGUGGGGAAUAGUGGACAAUGGGCGAAAGCCUGAUCCAGCAAUGCCGCGUGAGUGAUGAAGGCCUUAGGGUUGUAAAGCUCUUUUACCCGGGAUGAUAAUGACAGUACCGGGAGAAUAAGCGCCGGCUAACUCCGUG
rnacentral:rRNA from 1 species